GGCCUUGUAGCUCGGUUGGCUAGAUCGUUGGCUAUACUAAAUCGUUCCCUUCGCUGCCGUGGGUUCAAAUCCCACCGAGGCCG
rnacentral:tRNA from 1 species